UAGGGAAUCUUCGGCAAUGGGGGCAACCCUAACCGAGCAACGCCGCGUGAGUGAAGAAGGUUUUCGGAUCGUAAAGCUCUGUUGUAAGAGAAGAACGUGUGUGAGAGUGGAAAGUUCACACAGUGACGGUAACUUACCAGAAAGGGACGGCUAACUACGUGCCAGCAGCCGCGGUAAUACGUAGGUCCCGAGCGUUGUCCGGAUUUAUUGGGCGUAAAGCGAGCGCAGGCGGUUUAAUAAGUCUGAAGUUAAAGGCAGUGGCUUAACCAUUGCUCGAGUUGGAAACUGUUAAACUUGAGUGCAGAAGGGGAGAGUGGAAUUCGAUGUGUAGCGGUGAAAUGCGUAGAUAUAUGGAGGAACACCGGUGGCGAAAGCGGCUCUCUGGUCUGGAACUGACGCUGAGGCUCGAAAGCGUGGGGAGCAAACAGG
rnacentral:rRNA from 1 species